AACGUAGGAUCCGAGCGUUGUCCGGAAUCACUGGGUGUAAAGGGUGCGUAGGCGGGCUUGCGCGUCAAGGGUUAAAGACCUCGGUUCAACCGAGGGAAUGCCCUUGAUACGGCAGGUUUUGAGGGCGGGAGAGGAUGGUGGAAUUCCUGGUGUAGCGGUGAAAUGCGUAGAGAUCCGGGGGAACACCGAAGGCGAAGGCAGCCAUCUGGACCGCCACUGACGCUGAGGCACGAAAGCGUGGGGAGCAAACAGG
rnacentral:rRNA from 1 species